rnacentral:rRNA from 1 species
GAUGAACGCUGGCGGCGUGCCUAAUACAUGCAAGUCGAGCGAACAGACGAGGAGCUUGCUCCUCUGACGUUAGCGGCGGACGGGUGAGUAACAUGUGGAUAACCUACCUAUAAGACUGGGAUAACUUCGGGAAACCGGAGCUAAUACCGGAUAAUAUAUUGAACCGCAUGGUUCAAUAGUGAAAGACGGUUUUGCUGUCACUUAUAGAUGGAUCCGCGCCGCAUUAGCUAGUUGGUAAGGUAACGGCUUACCAAGGCAACGGUGCGUAGCCGACCUGAGAGGGUGAUCGGCCACACUGGAACUGAGACACGGUCCAGACUCCUACGGGAGGCAGCAGUAGGGAAUCUUCCGCAAUGGGCGAAAGCCUGACGGAGCAACGCCGCGUGAGUGAUGAAGGUCUUCGGAUCGUAAAACUCUGUUAUUAGGGAAGAACAAAUGUGUAAGUAACUAUGCACGUCUUGACGGUACCUAAUCAGAAAGCCACGGCUAACUACGUG